UACGAGGGGUGCAAGCGUUGCUCGGAAUCAUUGGGCGUAAAGGGCAGGUAGGUGGUCUUAUUUGUCUGGGGUGAAAUCCUUGGGCUUAACCCAAGAACUGCCCCAGAAACGGUGAGACUCGAGUCCUGGAGAGGGUCGUGGAAUUCCCGGUGUAGCGGUGAAAUGCGUAGAGAUCGGGAGGAACACCAGAGGCGAAGGCGGCGACCUGGACAGGCACUGACACUCAACUGCGAAAGCGUGGGGAGCAAACAGG
rnacentral:rRNA from 1 species